rnacentral:piRNA from 1 species
UGGUAUUCGGAUGCCUGCUGGAGUUAGAGA